rnacentral:tRNA from 1 species
GCCCUACGAAGCUCAAUAGGAAGAGCAGUAGUUUUGUAAACUUCAGGCUGUGGGUUCGACUCCCACCUAGGGCUCUA